CUGAAUUUUUGUCCCUCCUUCUUUGUUUCCUUCUUCGACGGCGACUUGCGUCGACGAGUUCCGGACCAACCCAUGAUCUUUAAAUACCUUUGUUAAAUUCGUAUUAUCGAGACGAAGCUUUGCGUGUCCUUCGAUUCGAGUUUGCUCGAGUUUUAGUGGCGAUUCAAUGAGUUUGCUCGAGGUUUAGUGGCGAUUCAAGGCUCGCCGGAGUUGGGUUCGUCGUCGUCGGAUUCUGGAAAUUUGGCUGGAAAAAAAUGAAUUCCCGUAAGUAAAUAUCCAGUUUAGUCCCUAAACUUUCAUACUUCCAAUUUAGUACCUAAACUAUCUUAUUUUGUUCUACGCAGUCUGUAACUUUGAAAUUAUUCCAGCCGCGGCCCAAUACUUUCCAGCUAUUGCAGUUUGGCCC
rnacentral:lncRNA from 1 species